UACGGGGGGGGGGGCAAGCGUUGUCCGGAAUCAUUGGGCGUAAAGCGCGCGUAGGCGGCCCUGUAAGUCCGUUGUGAAAGUCAAAGGCUCAACCUUUGAAAGCCGAUGGAUACUGCAGGGCUGGAGUCCGGAAGAGGCGAGUGGAAUUCCUGGUGUAGCGGUGGAAUGCGCAGAUAUCAGGAGGAACACCAAUAGCGAAGGCAGCUCGCUGGGACGGUACUGACGCUGAGGCGCGAAAGCGUGGGGAGCGAACAGG
rnacentral:rRNA from 1 species